AAUCAUGUGACCAUUUGUCAUGUGACACCAAAGAAGAAAAGGUUAAAGUUCUAACGCGAACCAAAACGCUUCGUAUUCAUGAUGACAGGGUAGUCCUGCUGAUAUUGUGCAGUCUGCCUGGCACCUGCUAAGCUUGAUUACAUCAUCUGGGACACAACUGGGCACAUCCAGUGAUGGCACAAAUCAAAACACAAAGUUCAGAAUUAAACUUGAAUUCAUGUACAUAUUUUAUUAACUUAUCAAUUCUAGAUUUAUUGAUGAUUAAUACAUUUUUUUGAAAACAUUCCUGCAGAGAACAGAGACAUGGAGGUCCCAGUGGCAGCGCAGCCCAGCCCUCACUCCAAAUGGAAAUGACCAGGGGUAUGCAGAUGACGUGCAGGUGUCUUCACGCCAGGAGGAUGUCAUUAUAAACAUGCUGACACGCACUGAGGAAUUCCUCCACUGGUCUGGGCUGGAUGUGAAACAGAGCAAAUGUGCUGUUUUCCACAACGCUGCAGUGGUGGUAACUGCUGGUAUAAGGCCAAGAAUGACAAGCCCCCCUCCUUUCUGAUAAUGGGUAAAACCAUCAGAGUUUACGCCCGUAAUGAGACCUACCCAUACUUAGGCCAUAAAUUUAACAUCGCUGGAGAGUGGGGGAGCAGGUUGAGGAGCUCACAAAGGAGUAUCUCCAUCGCCUCCACUUGGUAGACCUGUCACCCCUCCCAACAGUCAUUAAACUUGAGGCUGUGAGAGAUGUGGCCCUGGCCAAAAUACAACAUCUAUUUGCUAAUGUCCACAUCCCGCAAAAAAUCCUAAGAGAGAUGACAAAUAAAACCAUCCAGCUGGUCCGAAAGUGGGUGGGUUUAAAUACACAUUCUACUCGAGAUAUAGUUUUUCUUCCCUGUAGCAAAGGAGGGCUGGGAGUUCCCAAUGUAGAACGGACAUGCACAGCCACUAGGUUAACUAACUUACUUCACAUGUUAAAUAAUGAUGAUGCAACUGUCAGAGAAAUGGCCAGGGCUUCUUUUUUGUUGGAUUUUUGCAGGAGGAAAGUCCCCCUGGCCACUGCAACCCAGAACAACUUCCUGGGCUUCAGGAGAAAAGGUUGCAUUGAAAUCAGAACCUAACAGAGAAGUGUUAGGAUUUAGGCAUUUAGGGAGAGAAUAUUUUGAACAAAAGGCUGAGGCUGUGUGAGGUUUGAAAAUAAAGGUCCACCACGUUAGUUAACUAACGUGAUGCAAUGUUAACGUUGUCAUAUGAGCAGUGUAACGUUAACGUAACAUUAAGGCUAUACUUGUGUAUGUAAAUUAAAAAGUGGCGAACUGUGUGAAAUUACAAUAAGGUGUGUAACGUAUAAAAAAAAAAUAAUGUGACAUUUGACUGCCACAUAUAAAAUAUUAAUAAGAUUAGUGUAUGAUACAGGCCUGUAGUUAUACAACAAUAGAUAAUGCACAGACAGAAUAUGAGGACUGUGAUGGCCACCACCUUUUUGUUUUGCUAAAAUAAAUUUAUUAUGAUCUGUUGAACAUUGAAGAAAUUUAAGUUGUAUUGUUUGCAUGUAAAGGUGUCUGUGAAGUAGGUAACCUAACACAUAUAUUACUUUUAAUAUCUAUUUGUCUGUGUAAAGUUUUCCUCUAGGUGACCCAGACAGACUGGACCAGUGGACACUCAACACGAGGAGACAGAACUGGACUCCAAACAAGACUUCCCAUCUGUGCAGUGAACACUUUGAGAGUCAUCACUUCAGCACUGACUCCAGGAUAAAGACACCUUUUUUUAUACAGUACCUCACAAAGAGUCAAGAAACUUAUUAGUUUGAAAUGAUGAAUUAUUGUCCAUAAUACAUUUAAAUGCAUUACAUAAAUUACUAAUUGCCAUACAUUACUAAGUACUCGAUUAGGGCACAGCUUGCUCUGUAUUAUUACUGAUAAGGUGAAAUUACUGCACACCAGUGCAGUUUAGUGUUCCCCUGGUGCAAAAGGCCAAAUGAAGAUUUUAUUAAUCAAGGAACAUGACAUGUAUUUACCGACUUUAACAUUUUAGUGCCUUUUAUGCAAAGACCCUUUAUCAAAGUGAGAAUUACUACCUUUUUCCCCACACACAGUCUGUGAAGAACCAAUGGAAUAAAAUAUUCUCAUAAUGAGACAGCCGAACAUAGCAUGAUUCCACAGUGGUAGUGAGCUUUGAUAACAGUUCAGUUUCCUUUUGAUAGCAACAAUUAUUUUAAUGUGGAUGAACGGCAUACUAGGGCGGCACGGUGGUGUGGUGGUUAGCACUCUCGCCUCACAGCAAGAGGGUUGCCAGUUCGAUCCUGGGCGUGGGAGCCCUUCUGUGUGGAGUUUGCAUGUUCUCCCCGUGUCAACGUGGGUUCUCUCCGGGCACUCCGGCUUCCUCCCACAGUCCAAAGACAUGCAGAUUGGGGACUAGGUUAAUUGGUAACUCUAAAUUGUCCUCUAAAGGACACUAAAGGUAACUCUAAAGGUGUGAAUGUGAGUGUGAAUGGUUGUUUGUCUCUAUGUGUCAGCCCUGCGAUAGUCUGGCGACCUGUCCAGGGUGUACCCUGCCUCUCACCCGAUGUAGCUGGGAUAGGCUCCAGCCCCCCCGCGACCCUCAAGAGGAUGAAGCGGUUAGAAGAUGAAUGAAUGAAUGUACAUUCAUACUCCAUUUGUCUUGGUAGUACACUGAUAAAUUUAAAAUCACAUUCAAAUAUAAAGUCAAAUAUCUACAGAACUUAAACACAAAACUAUUUUAUGACAGCCAGAUCAUUUUGGUGGUGAGUAGACUUUUAACCAAGACAGGCUGUAGUCAGUGUUUUCUACCUGUGUUUUUAACCUGUCAUCUUUCUCUCAUGUAGGACACUUGUGGAAAGUUACAACGCCUCGGCCAAUGUGAUAUUUACUCCACAGUCAAGAGGUUGUUUCACAAGAAAUUAAGAUUUUGCAAAUUAUGACACUGGGUCCUAAUCCAUAGGUUUUAUAAUUACUGUUAUAAAUCUUUUCAUUUAUUUCACGUGUACUUUUUGUAACCUUUUAAUAUGGAUGUUUUCAUGAAUGCAAGCUUUGACUUAAUUUUGUUAAACUGUUUGUGUAAUGGAAUAACUUUUGCCAUAUAAAAUGGAUCAGACAAAAUUUACUUUAGAGUAAAAGCAAAUUUUUUGAAAGCUGUCAUUCAUCAGUUUCCUGUGAUGAUUGGAAAUAUAGUGGUGAUUUAAACCAUUAACAAAAUAUAAUAGUUAUUAAUGGUAUCUUAAUGUUUCCAUUUAUGUCUUAACAUUUACCCAAGUUUGCAUUUAUCUUAGCAGAAUGUAAAAAAAAAAUGAAAAGCUGAUGUUAUGUGCUGGUUUUGUUUGAACAUUUCACAAAUGAAGAAAAUUCACUGAGAAACGAUUCUGCUUUUGUGAAAAACAAGGAAAUAUCUGCACACUGAAUAGUUUUAAGUCCCGUAGGAGGUAUCAUUUAUUUGUGAGGUUGUGACAUAUGAGAAGGUUCUGUGGGUAUUGCUCGGUAUUGAGGCUUAUAUAGUGAGGCUAAAAAAAUGUAACACACAAUUGGCUGAUUAUGUUUCUGUUUGCCUCACUAUAAAAACGUCACAGUACCUUUGCCUGAGGAAGACCCUUUCAGAGUUGGCAACAUAGCGAACAAGUGAUACCUCCUUGGGGGCUUCA